rnacentral:rRNA from 1 species
UACGGGGGGGGCAAGCGUUGUUCGGAAUUACUGGGCGUAAAGGGCUCGUAGGCGGCCAACUAAGUCGGAUGUGAAAUCCCCAGGCUUAACCUGGGAACUGCAUCCGAUACUGGAUGGCUUGAAUCCGGGAGAGGCAGGCGGAAUUCCGGGUGUAGCGGUGGAAUGCGGUAAGAGAUCCGGAAGAACACCGGUGGCGAAGGCGGCCUGCUGGGCAGUUGCUGACACUGAGGCGCGACA